AUUGAACGCUGGCGGAAUGCUUUACACAUGCAAGUCGAACGGCAGCACGGACUUCGGUCUGGUGGCGAGUGGCGAACGGGUGAGUAACAUAUCGGAACGUAUCCAAUAAUGGGGGAUAACUAAUCGAAAGGUUGGCUAAUACCGCAUACGCCCUACGGGGGAAAGCUAGGGACCUUCGGGCCUGGCGUUAAUGGAGCGGCCGAUAUCUGAUUAGCUAGUUGGUGAGGUAAAGGCUCACCAAGCCAACGAUCUGUAGCUGGUCUGAGAGGACGAUCAGCCACACUGGGACUGAGACACGGCCCAGACUCCUACGGGAGGCAGCAGUGGGGAAUUUUGGACGAUGGGGGCAACCCUGAUCCAGCAAUGCCGCGUGAGUGAAGAAGGCCUCGGUGUAAGACUCUUUGUCAGGAAGAAACAGCAGCUCUAACACAGUCUG
rnacentral:rRNA from 1 species